GUAAACUUGCAAUAAUGAAAAAGUGUACUUCUGAAGAAAACGACAUGACCGUUUUUGUUGGUAUUCAAGUCAGCUAGUGUUUAUAAUGACCGGAUAUCGAAUAAGGGAAGCCCGGCUGCCCUCGUAACAAAACCAGCAAAUAUCCUGAUGACAGCGAAGUGAUGACAUUAGCCAUUCCUUAGGGUAGGAGGAACAGAUGGAUCUUAUAGACCUAUGACAACUUCCGGAGCGGGUAGUACAGGAUGAAAUGCUGACCCUGAUGUUGCUUUUCAUUCAUAAAUAAGUAGAAAAUUGUUUCUUCAGUCUUUUGGGAACACAGGACUUAAAAGUCACAUCAUGUGUAGAUAUUACCAAGCAGCAUUACCAAGACAUGGCAAAGAGUUUGUCUGAAUUGGAAUGUUGCUAUUUGUGGCCCUCUUCGGGGAUUUUCAGAGGUACAAGGUUAGAAUGCUACAAUGUUACCACCGUGCCUUCCAAUGUUUAUAUCAUCGGAAACAUAACAUAAUCAAAGUGGCUGUGAUUUAACAAAAUGAUUAAAGUGUU
rnacentral:lncRNA from 1 species